CAGCCUGGUCUACAGAGGAGCAGGCCAGGACAAGCACAAAAGAACAGAAGAGACAAGCAGAGGUGGGGACCAGUGCGGCCGAGGUUGGCAGCACUGAGGACUCAGCAGAAGCCCGUGUUGGGGAGUCACCUUGGCAUCAAUUGGCAGAUGGAGCCGAUAGGGUACCACCACAUCCUAUGUUCCAACUCUCCUGGCCACAGGCUCCCCAGCUCUGGUCCACUCCACUCCAGCUGUACAACCCCCAGCACUAAUCUCGAGGCUUCUCUGAUUGGAUAGGCCUGACUUGGCAUCAACAUCUGGGCCUAUCACUGAUGCCCAGGGGCCAGAACAGCGCCCCCAUUGGCUGACACUUAUGCCACUCCUUGCCUUGUGUCCUGAUCCUCACUCAGCAGUUCUUCCAGGCAGGCAGUAGAGAGCAAAGGUUGAAGGGGCUUUUAUGGCUGACCUGGACUAUGCUAUGGCUGGCAAAGCGGCAGGGACAGGAGCUCUGCAAAAAUUAGUGCCCUGCACUUCCCCACAACAUCUGGAAUCCCAGAAAGCCAAAUGCUGCUAAACAAAGGGACCUUAGCAUAGUAAGGAAGUGAUUUAUAUCUUGGCUAGAAAUGGACACUAGGCAGAGUUGGGCAGGUGCAGGGAAGGAGCCCCUGGGAGCCUGCAGGAGACCGUGGCAAAUACAUGGCUGGGCUCAAAUCCCACCUUUGCUUCUUGGAAACUAUGCACCACCAAGUAAGUUACCCAACACUGAUGGAAGAAUGGUUCUCAACCUGUAAGCCGCAACCCCUUUGGGAUUGAAUAAUUUGUUUACAGGGGUCACCCAAGACCAUCAAAAAACAUAGAUGUUUAUAUCACAAGACAUAACAGUAACAUAACUUCAGCUAUGAAGUAGUAACAAAAAUAACUUUAUGGAUGAAAGUCACCACAACUUGAGGAACUGUAUUAAAAGAUCGCAGUGGUUCAGAGGUUGAGAACCAUUGCUGUAAGAUACUAAGAUUCCUCAUGAGUUAAUGCACACCCUGAACUGCACAGAUCACAUUGCUGUAAGAUACUAAGUAUUCCUCAUGAGUUAAUGCACACCCUGAACUGCACAGAUCACAUUGCUGUAAGAUACUAAGAUUCCUCAUGAGUUAAUGCACACCCUGAACUGCACAGAUCACAUUGCUGUAAGAUACUAAGUAUUCCUCAUGAGUUAAUGCACACCCUGAACUGCACAGAUCACAUUGCUGUAAGAUACUAAGUGUUCCUCAUGAGUUAAUGCACACCCUGAACUGCACAGAUCACAUUGCUGUAAGAUACUAAGUGUUCCUCAUGAGUUAAUGCACACCCUGAACUGCACAGAUCACAUUGCUGUAAGAUACUAAGUGUUCCUCAUGAGUUAAUGCACACCCUGAACUGCACAGAUCACAUUGCUGUAAGAUACUAAGUAUUCCUCAUGAGUUAAUGCACACCCUGAACUGCACAGAUCACAUUGCUGUAAGAUACUAAGUGUUCCUCAUGAGUUAAUGCACACCCUGAACUGCACAGAUCACAUUGCUGUAAGAUACUAAGUGUUCCUCAUGAGUUAAUGCACACCCUGAACUGCACAGAUCACAUUGCUGUAAGAUACUAAGAUUCCUCAUGAGUUAAUGCACACCCUGAACUGCACAGAUCACAUUGCUGUAAGAUACUAAGAUUCCUCAUGAGUUAAUGCACACCCUGAACUGCACAGAUCACAACAGAUACAGACUUGUGCUUUGGUUUGAUUUUGAGACAGGAUCUGUUGUGUUUUAUAAAAAGAACAAAAGAGAGGGCUGGAGAGAUGGC